rnacentral:rRNA from 1 species
CCAUGCAGUCGACGGCAGCAUGGGCUUCGGCCUGAUGGCGAGUGGCGAACGGGUGAGUAAUACAUCGGAACAUGCCUCGUUGUGGGGGACAACUACUCGAAAGAGUAGCUAAUACCGCAUAAGAUCUACGGAUGAAAGCAGGGGACCUUCGGGCCUUGCGCAAUGAGAGUGGCCGAUGGCAGAUUAGGUAGUUGGUGAGGUAAAGGCUCACCAAGCCUGCGAUCUGUAGCUGGUCUGAGAGGACGACCAGCCACACUGGGACUGAGACACGGCCCAGACUCCUACGGGAGGCAGCAGUGGGGAAUUUUGGACAAUGGGCGCAAGCCUGAUCCAGCAAUGCCGCGUGCAGGACGAAGGCCUUCGGGUUGUAAACUGCUUUUGUACAGAACGAAAAGCUUUGGGUUAAUACCCUGGAGCCAUGACGGUACUGUAAGAAUAAGCACCGGCUAACUACGUGCCAGCAGCCGCGGUAAUACGUAGGGUGCAAGCGUUAAUCGGAAUUACUGGGCGUAAAGCGUGCGCAGGCGGCUAUGCAAGACUGAUGUGAAAUCCCCGGGCUCAACCUGGGAACUGCAUUAGUGACUGCAUAGCUGGAGUGCGGCAGAGGGGGAUGGAAUUCCGCGUGUAGCAGUGAAAUGCGUAGAUAUGCGGAGGAACACCGAUGGCGAAGGCAAUCCCCUGGGCCUGCACUGACGCUCAUGCACGAAAGCGUGGGGAGCAAACAGGAUUAGAUACCCUGGUAGUCCACGCCCUAAACGAUGUCAACUGGUUGUUGGGAAUUUAUUUUCUCAGUAACGAAGCUAACGCGUGAAGUUGACCGCCUGGGGAGUACGGUCGCAAGACUAAAACUCAAAGGAAUUGACGGGGACCCGCACAAGCGGUGGAUGAUGUGGUUUAAUUCGAUGCAACGCGAAAAACCUUACCCACCUUUGACAUGUACGGAAGUUGCCAGAGAUGGCUUCGUGCUCGAAAGAGAGCCGUAACACAGGUGCUGCAUGGCUGUCGUCAGCUCGUGUCGUGAGAUGUUGGGUUAAGUCCCGCAACGAGCGCAACCCUUGUCAUUAGUUGCCAUCAUUAAGUUGGGCACUCUAAUGAGACUGCCGGUGAUAAACCGGAGGAAGGUGGGGAUGACGUCAAGUCCUCAUGGCCCUUAUAGGUGGGGCUACACACGUCAUACAAUGGCUGGUACAAAGGGUUGCCAACCCGCGAGGGGGAGCUAAUCCCAUAAAGCCAGUCGUAGUCCGGAUCGCAGUCUGCAACUCGACUGCGUGAAGUCGGAAUCGCUAGUAAUCGUGGAUCAGAAUGUCACGGUGAAUACGUUCCCGGGUCUUGUACACACCGCCCGUCACACCAUGGGAGCGGGUUCUGCCAGAAGUAGGUAGCUUAACCGUAAGGAGGGCGCUUACCACGGCAGGGCUCGUGACUGGGGUGAAGUCGU